CAUAGCGACUAUCGUGGCAUAUCAAUAGCGGAGGAAAAGAAACUAACUAGGAUUCCCUCAGUAACGGCGAGUGAAGCGGGAAGAGCUCAAAUUUGAAAUCUUCAAGGUUCUACCUUGACGAAUUGUAGUUUAAAGAAGUGUUUUCUGUUGGAGUUUUGGUAAAAGUUCUCUGGAAUAGGACAUCAUAGAGGGUGAGAAUCCCGUAUUUGACCAUUAUUUCCAGCUGUGUGAUACACUUUCAAAGAGUCGGAUUGUUUGGGAAUGCAGUCCAAAAUGGGUGGUAAAUUUCAUCUAAAGCUAAAUAUUGGCGAGAGACCGAUAGCGAACAAGUACCGUGAGGGAAAGAUGAAAAGAACUUUGAAAAGAGAGUUAAACAGUACGUGAAAUUGUCAAAAGGGAAGCGUUUGACACCAGUGUUGUUUUCUCGAAAAUCAAUUAAAAAAUGGCCUGAUUUUGUGUUGUAUUGACCUUAUAGGCUUUCUGCACUCUUUUCAUUGUCUUUUUUAAUGCACUUUUCGUUUAACAAGUCAACAUCAAUUUCUUUUGUUGUAAAAGGGUCAUUGGAAGGUGGCUUUCUCUUCGGAGAAAGUGUUUAUAGCCUUUAAUCCUCUGCAAUCCGGAGAGACUGAGGUCUGCAGCGUAGACUCUUCGGGGUUAGAUACAUUUGUGCUAGGCUAUAGCCUUGUUAUAGACAACUUGUUGACUAUGAUUAGUCAUUGUAGCUUACUCGCUUAUGCUAUUUUACCUACGCUUAGGAUGUUGACGAGACUGUCGAUCU
rnacentral:rRNA from 1 species